AUUGAACGCUGGCGGCAGGCCUAACACAUGCAAGUCGAGCGGAGCGGCGGACGGGUGAGUAAUGCCUAGGAAUCUGCCUGGUAGUGGGGGAUAACGUCCGGAAACGGGCGCUAAUACCGCAUACUAUCAGAUGAGCCUAGGUCGGAUUAGCUAGUUGGUGGGGUAAAGGCCUACCAAGGCGGCGAUCCGUAACUGGUCUGAGAGGAUGAUCAGUCACACUGGAACUGAGACAAGGUCCAGACGCCUACAGGAGGCAUGAGUGGCGAAUAUUGGACAAUGGGCGAAAGCCUGAGACAGCCAUGCGGCGUCAAUGAAGGAGGCCUUCGGGUUGUAAAGUACUUUUAGCGGGGAGGCGUUACCCGCAGAAGAAGCACCGGCUAACUCCGUGCCAGCAGCCGCGGUAAUUC
rnacentral:rRNA from 1 species